rnacentral:rRNA from 1 species
GACUGGCCCAGGGAGGUCGGCAACGACCACCCAGGGCCGGAAAGUUCGUCAAACUUGGUCAUUUAGAGGAAGUAAAAGUCGUAACAAGGUCUCCGUAGGUGAACCUGCGGAGGGAUCAUU